AAUAUUGCACAAUGGGCGCAAGCCUGAUGCAGCGACGCCGCGUGAGGGAUGACGGCCUUCGGGUUGUAAACCUCUUUCAGCAGGGAAGAAGCCACAAGUGACGGUACCUGCAGAAGAAGCGCCGGCUAACUACGUGCCAGCAGCCGCGGUAAUACGUAGGGCGCAAGCGUUGUCCGGAAUUAUUGGGCGUAAAGAGCUCGUAGGCGGUUUGUCGCGUCUGCUGUGAAAGCCCGGGGCUCAACCCCGGGUCUGCAGUGGGUACGGGCAGACUAGAGUGCAGUAGGGGAGACUGGAAUUCCUGGUGUAGCGGUGAAAUGCGCAGAUAUCAGGAGGAACACCGAUGGCGAAGGCAGGUCUCUGGGCUGUUACUGACGCUGAGGAGCGAAAGCAUGGGGAGCGAACAGGAUUAGAUACCCUGGUAGUCCAUGCCGUAAACGUUGGGCACUAGGUGUGGGGGACAUUCCACGUUCUCCGCGCCGUAGCUAACGCAUUAAGUGCCCCGCCUGGGAUACG
rnacentral:rRNA from 1 species